rnacentral:misc_RNA from 1 species
AAGUCGUAACAAGGUUUCCGUAGGUGAACCUGCGGAAGGAUCAUUACAAAUCCAUCCACGUCUCAAUCAACCUGAGACCACGUUGAAACGUUCCCCGGGACGGGCCGCCUCGUGCGGACCGCCCUGGGCUGCUAAACUAGUGUGACCUGUUGCUCAAAUGUAUCUUGAUUUUCAAUCAAACGAAAACUAGUACAACUUAUAACAAUGGAUCUCUAGGCUCUU